rnacentral:misc_RNA from 1 species
UUUCCGUUGGUGAACCAGCGGAGGGAUCAUUAUCGAGUUUAUAACUCCCAAACCCUAUGUGAACUUAUCCCUUGUUGCUUCGGCGCGCGCUUCGGCGCCGCCGAGGACACUUAAACUCUUUGUUUUUAUAAGCAUUUCUGAGUGGCCGAAAGGCAAAAUACAAAUGAACCAAAACUUUCAACAACGGAUCUCUUGGUUCUG